rnacentral:rRNA from 1 species
AGCAGUCGCCGCGGUAAUACGAAGGGGGCUAGCGUUGCUCGGAAUGACUGGGCGUAAGGGCGCGUAGGCUGAUUGUUUAGUUAGGCGUGAAAUUCCUGGGCUUAACCUGGGGACUGCGCUUAAUACAGGCAGUCUAGAGUGAGGAAGAUGGUUGUGGAAUUCCCAGUGUAGAGGUGAAAUUCGUAGAUAUUGGGAAGAACACCGGUGGCGAAGGCGGCAACCUGGUCCUUGACUGACGCUGAGGCGCGAAAGCGUGGGGAGCAAACAGGAUUAGAUACCCCCGUAGUCCCUGUCUCUUAUACC